AAGCUGACUGCUUUCCUGGAAGAAUUCUUUAUCCCCUUGGCCAAUUGAAAGAGCUUCAGCUCCCAUAGCAUCUGACCAUAAUUCAUAUUUUCAUUGACAUCUUCACCUGGACACAAAAAUCAGUUCAUGCCACUAAAUAAGUAUUCAGACAAUGUCCAAUUCUUCUUUCAUCUGCAUUUCCUCCCCUUCUGCCCUCCUCUGUCAACUUCUUUGAUCUAUCCCUUGCUCUCAUUGAUUCUCUCCCCUGCAGCUCUAUCUCCUUCCCAAACAUGCUGCUUCUUUCUGCCUCCUCCUUUCACUUCUGUUUGACCUCAGGCAGUCUCUUUAUCUCUCCUCAUAU
rnacentral:lncRNA from 1 species